GGAUGCGAUCAUACCAGCAAUAAAGCACCGGAUCCCAUCAGAACUUCGCAGUUAAGCGUGCUUGGCAGAGUAGUACUAGGAUGGGUGACCCCUGGGAAGUCCUCGUGUUGCAUCCC
rnacentral:rRNA from 1 species